UCCGGGGUAGCUCAAUCGGCAGAGCAUUCGGCUGUUAACCGAAGGGUUGUGGGUUCGAAUCCCACCCCCGGAG
rnacentral:tRNA from 1 species